rnacentral:rRNA from 1 species
GACGAACGCUGGCGGCGUGCCUAAUACAUGCAAGUUGAGCGCUGAAGGCUGGUACUUGUACCAACUGGAUGAGCAGCGAACGGGUGAGUAACGCGUGGGGAAUCUGCCUUUGAGCGGGGGACAACAUUUGGAAACGAAUGCUAAUACCGCAUAAAAACUUUAAACACAAGUUUUAAGUUUGAAAGAUGCAAUUGCAUCACUCAAAGAUGAUCCCGCGUUGUAUUAGCUAGUUGGUGAGGUAAAGGCUCACCAAGGCGAUGAUACAUAGCCGACCUGAGAGGGGGAUAGGCCCAAUGGGGGUGGGAAACCGCCCAAAACCCCUCAGGGAGGGAGAAGUAGGGAAUCUUCGGCAAUGGAGGAAAAUCUGGCCGAGCAAGCCCGAGGGAGUGAAAGAGGUUUUCGGAUCGUAAAACUCUGUUGGUAGAGAAAAACGGUGGUGGGAGUGGAAGGCCCAUCAGGGAACGGAAACUACCCAGAAAGGGGGGGCAAACUAGGG